rnacentral:rRNA from 1 species
UAGAGUUUGAUCAUGGCUCAGAUUGAACGCUGGCGGCAGGCCUAACACAUGCAAGUCGAGCGGAAACGACUUAACUGAACCUUCGGGGAACGUUAAGGGCGUCGAGCGGCGGACGGGUGAGUAAUGCCUAGGAAAUUGCCCUGAUGUGGGGGAUAACCAUUGGAAACGAUGGCUAAUACCGCAUGAUGCCUACGGGCCAAAGAGGGGGACCUUCGGGCCUCUCGCGUCAGGAUAUGCCUAGGUGGGAUUAGCUAGUUGGUGAGGUAAUGGCUCACCAAGGCGACGAUCCCUAGCUGGUCUGAGAGGAUGAUCAGCCACACUGGAACUGAGACACGGUCCAGACUCCUACGGGAGGCAGCAGUGGGGAAUAUUGCACAAUGGGCGCAAGCCUGAUGCAGCCAUGCCGCGUGUGUGAAGAAGGCCUUCGGGUUGUAAAGCACUUUCAGUCGUGAGGAAGGUAGUGUUGUUAAUAGCUCCAUCAUUUGACGUUAGCGACAGAAGAAGCACCGGCUAACUCCGUGCCAGCAGCCGCGGUAAUACGGAGGGUGCGAGCGUUAAUCGGAAUUACUGGGCGUAAAGCGCAUGCAGGUGGUUUGUUAAGUCAGAUGUGAAAGCCCGGGGCUCAACCUCGGAAUAGCAUUUGAAACUGGCAGACUAGAGUACUGUAGAGGGGGGUAGAAUUUCAGGUGUAGCGGUGAAAUGCGUAGAGAUCUGAAGGAAUACCGGUGGCGAAGGCGGCCCCCUGGACAGAACUGACACUAAGAAGCGAAAGCGCG